rnacentral:rRNA from 1 species
UACGUAGGGUGCGAGCGUUAAUCGGAAUUACUGGGCGUAAAGCGUGCGCAGGCGGUUCGUUAAGUUCGUCGUGAAAGCCCCGGGCUCAACCUGGGAAUGGCGAUGGAAACUGGCGGGCUGGAGUGUGGCAGAGGGGGGUGGAAUUCCACGUGUAGCAGUGAAAUGCGUAGAGAUGUGGAGGAACACCGAUGGCGAAGGCAGCCCCCUGGGCCAACACUGACGCUCAGGCACGAAAGCGUGGGGAGCAAACAGG